GGGUAACCUGCCCUAUGCUGGAUAAUAACCUCGGGAAACUGAGAAUAAUGAUCCAUAGUUCACUACGCCUGGAACGGUGAGUGGAUGAAAGCUCCGGCGGCAUAGGAUGGGCCUGCGGCGUAUCAGGUUGUAGGGGGUGUAACGUACCCUCUAGCCCUCUACGCGUACGGGUGUUGGGAGACAUAGCCCGGAGAUGGAUUCUGAGACACGAAUCCAGACCCUACGGGGUGCAGCAGGCGCGAAAACUUGGCAAUGCGAGAAAUCGUGACCAGGGAACUCCAAGUGCAUCGGGUAAGACCGGUGCUUUUCUUGACUCUAAAUAGGUCUUGGAAUAAGGGGUGGGUAAGGACGGUGCCAGCCGCCGCGGUAAUACCGGCGCCUCAAGUGGUAGUCGCUUUUAUUGGGCCUAAAACGUCCGUAGCCGGUCUGAUACAUUCGUGGGUAAAUCAACCAGCUCAACUGGUUGAAUUCUGCGGGGACGGUCAGACUUGGGACCGGGAGAGGUGUGGGGUACGCUCAGGGUAGGGGUAAAAUCCUGUCAUCCUGAGCGGACCACCUGUUGCGAAGGCGCCACACUAGAACGGAUCCGACGGUCAGGGACGAAGCCUAGGGGCACGAACCGGAUUAGAUACCCGGGUAGUCCUAGGUGUAAACGCUGUGGACUUGAUGUUGGGGGUGCUCCGAGCACUCUCAGUGUCGAAGCGAAGGUGAUAAGUCCACUGCCUGGGAAGUACGGUCGCAAGGCUGAAACUU
rnacentral:rRNA from 1 species